rnacentral:lncRNA from 1 species
UUGUCUUUGGUAAGGCAAUUAGUUUAUUAUAUCCUUGUAAGGUUUGGGUGAUAUAAUCUUCGUGUGGAUUUUGGGUAGUUUUAGAUCUGGGGUUUUUGUUUAAAAAGGUUUGUAUUUUGUGAAUAUUUUCUAUAUAGGCUCUGGUUAUGUGGUUAUAGAUUUUCUUGUCCUGUCCUAAGCUGUCUUUGUAGGUAUUUAUUUGUGGUGGUACAAAUAAGAGGUUUUGG